GCAAAAAUCUCAGAGAGCAGCACCAUCAACGUUUAUGUAUCCGUUACUCUGUCUGAGAUUCCAAAACGCUCCAUAAAACCCUAGUGAGAAACCCCAGUUCACCAAUCCAAUCCGGUCCAAUCCAUCGAUACUUUCUUAUGCACACAACAUGUUUGAUGAAUUGGCUCAAUUGAUAAAGCUUGCAUUUUAAUUGAAUUUGGGAAUUUUGUGCAGCCGCAAGUUGAUGUCAAUGGCUUCCCAGAAGAACCAAUUACUCAGCUCGCUGCAAACAGCGAAGGCACGUACAUUGUUGGUGGAGGCUCGUCGGGGAAUAUCUACAGGUGUUAGUUGCUUGGUAUUGUUGGAUGAUGGCUCCCUGCUGAUUUAGGGGUCGGAGGAUGGAGGCCUUAGAGUUUGGUCUCUUUAUAGGUGGUAGAGAUGGCAAGAUAUACGUUGCUGCACUUAAUACUGAGAGCCUGCUUAACAGCAAGUAUGGGUUGCAUAUCAUCGAUUGUUUCUCGAAUCACAGGUCCAGUGAAUAAUAUUCUAGUUGUUCGACAGCAUUUUUCUGAGAAAUAUUGUUCUGACUUCAACUGAAGACCUCAAACAAGUCUGGAUCACUUUGCACUAUACUACACACACACAAUGGAGCUUUUGAUGUGCCUAUGUCCAGACCAUCUUCUUUCUCCCCGAAAGCAAUGGAAAAGACCAUUCUGGUGAACUCUGUAAUGCAGCAGCGAACCACCGUUCAUUAGCAGCACUCGCAACAGUCAAGCAGGCAACAUUUUUUGUACACCCUGUAACUGCUAGCAACUAAAUUAGACGACUGGAGGGUCUGCAAAAUUU
rnacentral:sRNA from 1 species